rnacentral:lncRNA from 1 species
GGAGGAAGGAUGUGGGCCUGGAAGGGGAUGGAAACUACACAAGAAGACAAACAGAGUCAACCAACCUGGGCCCUUGGGGCCCUCAGAGACUGAACUACCAACCAAAGGACAUACACAUGUUCGACCUAGGCCUCCCUACUCAUAUGUAGGAGAAGGGCAGCUUAGUUUUUAUGUGGUUCCUUAACAACUGGAAGGUGGGCUAUCCCAAAAGCUAUUGCCUGUACAUAGGAUAUGCUCUUUUAGCUGGGCAGACUUGUCUGGCCUCAGUGGGAGAGAAGGCAUCUAACCCUGUAGAGACUUGAUGUGCCAGAGUGGGGAGAUACUCAGGGAAGCCCCCACCCUCUCAGAAGAGAAGGGGAGAGGAGAAGGGAGGAAGGAUUGUGAGAGAGGUGACCAGGAAGGGACAGUGAGCAGGAUAUAGAUGAAUAAAUAAAAAUUAUGUUAAAUUAUAAAAAAUAAACUACCACAAAUACUUCAAUAA